GGACCUGACUGCUAUCGGAUUGAUACUAAGCCAUGCGAGUCAUUCGUAGCAAUACAAGGCAUACGGCUCAGUAACGCGUAGUCAACCUAACCUAUGGACGGGAAUAACCUCGGGAAACUGAGAAUAAUGCCCGAUAGAACAUUAUGCCUGGAAUGGUUUAUGUUCCAAAUGAUUUAUCGCCGUAGGAUGGGACUGCGGCCUAUCAGUUUGUUGGUGAGGUAAUGGCCCACCAAGACUAUUACAGGUACGGGCUCUGAGAGGAGUAGCCCGGAGAUGGGUACUGAGACACGGACCCAGGCCCUAUGGGGCGCAGCAGGCGAGAAAACUUUGCAAUGUGCGAAAGCACGACAAGGUUAAUCCGAGUGGUUUCUGCUAAAGAAACCUUUUGUCAGUCCUAGAAACACUGAUGAAUAAGGGGUGGGCAAGUUCUGGUGUCAGCC
rnacentral:rRNA from 1 species